UGGACCAUCCUGGGUAUAAAUAGGUGAGGCUCUGAGGUUUCGGGCAUCAGUCUUCCAGUGAGAGGCUUCAUCACAAACUCAUCCAAAAUGAAGGUUGCUCUGGUUCUCGCCCUCGUGGCCUGCGCUGCCGCCCUGCCCACUCCCGAGGCCGACCCACAGCUUCUGUACACCAGCCCCCUCGUCACCUACCCCGUCGUCAAGACUGUCAAGGCCGACACCCCCGCCAGCACCGUCCCCCUCGUCUACUCCUACAACCAUGGCCUUCCCCUCACCUACUCCUACAACUACCCCUACGCCCUCCCCUACUCCUACCCCUUCAACUUCCCCUACACCUACGUCGUGAAGGCUGACGAGGCCGCCGUCGAGAAGGCCUAAGACGCUCCCACGGAAGCCUUCCUCCUGCCGAAGGGACUGGGGGAGGAUUCGCGAGCCCCUCGUAGCCUCUCAAGGAGUUCGAAGGACUCGUUGAGCCUCCCCAGCUUCCCUCGGCGCCGGAGAGAACCGGAGGACCACAGGACGGACCCGAACCGCACCUUCAGGACCACUCGUGAUGGAUGACUCUCUCCGUCGGCGCCCUGUGAGGUCCUGCUGGAGGCGCCGAACACGAGGGCGAGGAGGGGGGAAGGGGGGCUCCCCGACGUCCUUCUUCCCUUCGUCUUGGCGUUCCUCUGCGGCCCUCACGCGGCGCCCGGCGGUUUCUCAUUAAAAUUCAAAAUGUC